rnacentral:rRNA from 1 species
UGGGGAAUCUUGCACAAUGGGGGCAACCCUGAUGCAGCGACGCCGCGUGAGCGAUGAAGCCCUUCGGGGUGUAAAGCUCUUUCGGCAGGGAAGAUAAUGACGGUACCUGCAGAAUCAGCUGCGGCUAACUACGUGCCAGCAGCCGCGGUAAUACGUAGGCAGCGAGCGUUGUUCGGAGUUACUGGGCGUAAAGGGUGUGUAGGCGGUGCUCUAAGUGUGGUGUGAAAUCUCCCGGCUCAACUGGGAGGGUGCGCUACGAACUGGAGUGCUCGAGUGCGGGAUGGGAGAGUGGAAUUCCUGGUGUAGCGGUGAAAUGCGUAGAUAUCAGGAGGAACACCGGUGGUGUAGACGGCUCUCUGGACCGCAACUGACGCUGAGACACGAAAGCGUGGGUAGCAAACAGGAUUAGAUACCCCUGUAGUCCCUGAGCGGGCUGGCAAGGCGCAU